UACGAAGGGGGCUAGCGUUGCUCGGAAUCACUGGGCGUAAAGGGGUGCGUAGGCGGGUCUUUAAGUCAGGGGUGAAAUCCUGGAGCUCAACUCCAGAACUGCCUUUGAUACUGAGGAUCUUGAGUACGGGAGAGGUGAGUGGAACUGCGAGUGUAAGAGGUGAAAUUCGUAGAUAUUCGCAAGAACACCAGUGGCGAAGGCGGCUCACUGGCCCGUUACUGACGCUGAGGCACGAAAGCGUGGGGAGCAAACGG
rnacentral:rRNA from 1 species